rnacentral:rRNA from 1 species
AGAAUUGACGGGGCCGCACAAGCGGUGGAGUAUGUGGUUUAAUUCGACGCAACGCGCAGAACCUUACCUAGACUUGACAUCCCGGGGAUUUUCUGGAAACAGAGAAGUGCUUUAGCAAUAAAGAACCCGGUGACAGGUGCUGCAUGGCUGUCGUCAGCUCGUGUCGUGAGAUGUUGGGUUAAGUCCCGCAACGAGCGCAACCCUCGCCUUUAGUUGCCAGCAUUCAGUUGGGCACUCUAGAGGGACUGCCGGUGUCAAACCGGAGGAAGGUGGGGAUGACGUCAAGUCCUCAUGGCCUUUAUGACCAGGGCUACACACGUACUACAAUGGCCGGUACAAAGGGCAGCCACUUAGCGAUAAGGAGCCAAUCCCGUAAAGCCGGUCUCAGUCCGGAUCGCAGUCUGCAACUCGACUGCGUGAAGUUGGAAUCGCUAGUAAUCGUAGAUCAGCAUGCCUACGGUCGAAUACGUUCCGGGCCUU